CACACACACACUGCACAAUACGCUUUCCUAGCAUUUUUGUCUCCUGGUAUCCCAUCUAUGGAGACACCAAAGACAAAUUCCAAGCAAACACAGUGCAAGCAUGUUAUUAAAUUUGCUUGCACUUUUUCUCAUGCUAGAGCUAGAGCUACCCUGGAAGAGCAUUGAACCAACAUGCUCACUUUGUGAUGGGGCGUGCUUGUCAUUG